GUUCUCUUUGGGGAAAGAGGAAACAGGUGUUGCAUGGUUGUGGUCAGUUCGUGUGGGGAAAUGUUGGGUUAAUUCCCGCAACGAGCGCAACCCUUUUCUUUAGUUGCCAUCAUUAAGUUGGGCACUCUAGGGAGACUGCCGGUGAUAAACCGGAGGAAGGUGGGGAUGACGUCAAAUCAUCAUGCCCCUUAUGGCUUGGGCUCAACCCGGGUAAAAAAGGGGGGUACAAGGGGGGGCCAACCGGGGGGGCCAGAUAAAUUUUAAAAAACCAUUCUCAGUUCGGAUUGUAGUCUGCAACUCGAUUCCAUGAAGUGGGAAUAGAUUUUAAUCAUGGAUCAGCAUGUCACGGUGAAUACGUUCCCGGUUCUUGUACACACCGCCCGUCACACCAUGGGAG
rnacentral:rRNA from 1 species